rnacentral:lncRNA from 1 species
AAAAGUAGGUCCUAGCCCAAGUGACCCUCGUAAGACAUGUCUUCUGUUCUUUCUUCUUUGGGCUUCUGCGGUUUGGGUUUGUCUUCUUGGAUCUUCAUAAUGAGCUGGCAUCAACAACACCUCAUGCGUAUGGGCUUUUGCUAGACUUCCACUCAGAGGCCCAUGUGCAGUUAAGAGCCAGGCCCUUCCUGCGACUGUCAUUCGUUGCGUCCGAGGAGUCAGUCUUCUUUUGACCACAUGUUUUGGAUAAUCGAAGAGUCGGGCUUGUUAUCCGUUCAAUCAUGCGUCUUUGUAAUUAAUGAUCUUCACGCUUCGCUUACCCGACCCCUCGUCCUUUUGGAUAGGCUAUAGAGAGAAAAAGGAUUCUCGUAGUUUUUCCAUCAUCACUCUUCUUCUCCACUCCUUUUCUUGACCAUUUAUAAUGAUCCCAAACGGUCGACUAAGUAUACCUUCCAAGCAAUUUUGUUUUUGUCCACGAGAAUCCCCUAUGGGAAACCGUCCGAAAACUCCUUUUAUAUUUGAUCAACUGAAUCAUGUUGAUUCAAAUUUUCAUUUUCGGUUAUUCAACCCCAUAAUAUUCCAGCUACUUUAUUUGGAAGGAGAAUUACUUCCAAAUUGUCGAUCUAACGUGUCUUCUCCAUUAAUGUCCUCAAGUUUAGAAAGAUCCAUUAGCGGGCCAGUUUAUAAUUCCUAAUUUCAGAUUUAUAUGAAAUUGUCCAACUUAGUUGGUCUUUCGACUGCUUAGAACUUGGUUUAUUAAAAGUUCCCCUUCCAUACCUAAAGAGACAUAUCCCAACUCGCUCUUUUUAUGUUCGAUCAGGUAACUCUAGGCUCAACUACUAACUCCCCAAGGGGAUUGGAGGCCUUAUGGUGACUAAUUAGACCAUGCUCAUUGGAGAUUUGAAGGCAACUCGCUUUAGUAUAAAGAGAUGGUCAUUUUUAGAAUAGGAUUCUUGAUGUAAAUCGGCUGACUAGGACAAUAUUCUUGACGUAAAUUGUUAAACUUAUUGUAAUGAACUUUUCCUAAAUGAAAUGAUACUUUUGAUAUUUAUUUGCUCUUUUUCUCUUUUAGUAUUUGACCAAUUACUAGUUUUCUAAAUGAUCAAUUAUUCUUGUCUUUUUAUAAAUGUCAAUUGAUAUACCCGUCCCAAAUAGAAUGAACAUACUUUUUAAAAUACUUCCCAUCAAUGAAUUGGUCGUAUACUUUUC